rnacentral:rRNA from 1 species
AUGAGCCAUGAUCUCUACCUUGAGAGCGUUGCAGAUGUUGUCGAUCUCGGCGUUGUAGUUGAUCUUCUGGGUGGUCAUGACGAGCUCGACGACGCCGAGGCACGCGCCGGUGCGGCGCUCGAAGACCGGCAUGGCGACGCUGCCGCGGAUGUCGAAGUGCUGCGCGUAGCGGACGCGCGGGUACUCGUUGUCGGUGAAGAGGCGCACGUCGGGCGUCCACUCGGGGACGCGGCCGACGAAGACCCGGCCGGGGAGCCCCAGCUCAGCGCAGGAGGUCUCGUCGGCGGAGAACUGGUACUUGACGGACACGGUGCGGUAGCUCUCGAGGCGGUCGCUGCGGCGGUCGAGCCAGAAGGGCUGGCCGCAGGUGGUGAGCACCUGGCGGUCGCCGAUGCACGUGGGCACCCACACCUGCACCAGCAGCUCGCCCGCCGCGCCGCGCGACCGCGACGCGAUGCCCUGCAGCGCGCGCCCCAGCCGCUCCUUCACCGAGGCCGGCGCCUCCUGCGGCUGGAUCAGCCACGCGCGGCGCGACUCCUCGCCCCCGUCCUCGCCGUCGUCGUCGCCGCCUCCGGCGGCCGGGGCGGUGGUGAUGGUGCUGCCGAGGUCGAACAGCGGGGAGAAGGGGCUCGGCGAGGCGCCGCCGGGGUGCAGGAACUCGGGGAAGUCGGGCCCGGGCGACGCCAGCAGGAACUCCUCCAUGAGAUCCAGCUCGUCCAUGUCGGCACGCAUGCUGCUGCCCCGCAGGCCGCCCUCGUCGCUCCUUUGCAUCGGAUGCUCCAUGGCCACAACCAGCUCGCUCGGCAAUCCUCAGACCCUCCGCCGCAUACGCACCAACCAAGGAACCGGCCGGCGACGGGGACGGGGCGGAGCGACGGGAGCCACGAACCUCGGAUCAACUCCUCGCUGGGCACAAGGGAAAAAAGAGAGGAGAGGGAAAAUCUCGUCACGAUGCAAUCCAAGGAAUCUAGCAGCAGGCAGGCAAUAAGAUUUGAUGCGCAUGGCUGCCACGACGGACGCCACUAG